rnacentral:rRNA from 1 species
UACGGAGGGGGCUAGCGUUGUUCGGAAUUACUGGGCGUAAAGCGCACGUAGGCGGCUUUGUAAGUUAGAGGUGAAAGCCCGGGGCUCAACUCCGGAAUUGCCUUUAAGACUGCAUCGCUAGAAUUGUGGAGAGGUAAGUGGAAUUCCGAGUGUAGAGGUGAAAUUCGUAGAUAUUCGGAAGAACACCAGUGGCGAAGGCGACUCACUGGACAUGUAUUGACGCUGAGGUACGAAAGCGUGGGGAGCAAACAGG